AAAAGAGAUUUUUGCAGCGUACAUAGUAAAAGCCCCCUGCAAUAGACCUUUUAUUUUGCAGCGUACAUGGUAAAAGCCCCCUGCAAUAACAUAUUUGUAAUUUUUUUCGCUGCAACUUUAACUCAGACCAAACAUUUCUACCUCAAACCUCAUGACCAAUUUCGCAGCGAAUAUCCCACUCUCAUUACUCCCUUCUUCUUCUCUCGGCUUACCCUGCCUCUCGCCGGUGGUUCUCACCAGUGGUCGUCGCCGCGUGGUCUCGCCCGUCGCCGGUGGUACUCUAGCAAGAGUCUAUUUAAUUUCCUCACCUCUCACCGGUGGUUCCCUGCUCGAAAAACCCCCGCAAAAGGUAUUCCCUGCUCGAAAAAACAACCGGCGAAGUGAUUCCCUGCUCGGAAAACUAAGCUUCUUUGCUCGGCCGGUUCGCGAACCCUGUUCUCCGUCAAUCCUCGCUGCGGCAAGUAACUUUCUCCCCUGUCCCUUUUUAUUUUCGUUUUCAAAAUUAGGGUUUGUUCAUUUUUCAUUUUUGCAGAGAAAGCCAAAGAAAUUGUUGGCUGACAAGAUUAGGAGAAAAUACAUACGUUUAUCUCGGAGACUUCCUCCACCCUUUUGAAGGGCGCAUAUACCAGUAAAAAACCGUACUGUUAUAAUACUCGAGACAGAUACUGGAGAACAAUACGAAGCCAAUUAUCUGCCUCAAUAUCGUGGACUCAGUGGUGGGUGGAAAAGGUUUGCCAUAGUUCUGAAAUUGGAAGGAGAUACUGUUGUUUUUCAACUAGUUGAACCUGCCAAAUUUAAGUCUACCUCUUCUAGAAUCAAAUCACUAAACUAGUUGAAGCUGAGGAUAAAAGCUGCUAAUGAAGCUGAGGCGGCUUGCCAACGGCGUCUCUCUGUUGCUGAGGCUGAAAUAGCUGAUUUAAGAUCCAAAUUGGAUACUACUGAAAGCAUGGAAGGCAAGCAUUCGUUUCUGUGCCUAGCACUUUUCCUGUGCCUGGAGAAGAACUGAUGUUUUGAUGAUUGUAAGAGGGGCAAGGAGAAGCUUGUUUGUGAUGCUGCUCAAGUACUGCUUUAUUUCGGAGUUGAACAAAUCAUCUAUGUUUCUGAAAUGACGCACUGCUAAAUAAAGGUCUACACUCCGAGGAAUGCGCCUAUACUAGUGAGGAAAUUGAUGUGGUUCGUGAGCAACGGGCUAAGUGUUUUACCCGCAAGUAUUUACUAUUGGCUUGAGCGCGCUUGAUCGAGGUGGUUUAGUUGUUAUAGAACAAUCGUUUACAUUAAAAUGUAUGCGUACAUUGAAAUUGGAACGUAUAUUUGAAUGUAGUACGUGCACUUUGGUUUUGGGAUAUAUAUAUAUGUAUACAAAACACCAGUUAUUAUUUUUUAUAUUUGUUGA